ACGUCUCUCGCGUCGUGCGUCCCCAGGCCCCUGCCCUGCUGCACAAACCCUAGACUCCCAAGCCCACAACGUCGCACUCCCCCCUCCUCCAUCCUCAGCCGCCGCCGCUAUUCUGCCUCCCUCCUCUCUGUUCUAUGACCACGCUGCUGGGAGGAAGCGGCCGUUCGUGGCUCCAUACCUCAGUUGAAGUGCCACGCAAGAGGUCAGGGGCUGCCACCACCAUGAACCAGGACAAAGGCGACGCCCGUUGAAGAGCCUCCGGGCAUGAAGCCGAUGGCGAACAUGCCGUCUCUCUGUCAACAAGCCUCUAGGAGGACCUACCGGCUGGUCCCGUGUCGUCGAGCAAGGGCCGCCGGUUGCGUCGUUGUGUGAGGAGGCACGCCAAUGAGCAGUGGGGAGGAGAUGAGGACACGCCCCUGACUCCCUAUUUCCUUCAAGUCGUACCUUCCCUAAGCCGUCUCUUCUAUUAGGGAGCUUCCAUAUGGGAUCUGGACUAGGAAAAGGAGAACCUAUGCGGGGAUGCCGGGCGAUGAGCCGACGACGAGUGUCGGUGAGCUGGCUGGACAGGUGCCGGGCACAUGGGCGCGGUUGGGGAGCUGCACACACAUCCAUCGACGGCGAGCACAUCCAACGCCAACACAUCGAGGUGAACUUCACCCAAUCUGUGUGUGUGUGGUCACGGUGCAGCAUCCUAGAUGGGAAGGAUGGCGGCAGUAGCGGCAGUCAAGCCCACUAUGCAUGCAAGCACAUCUGAUGCAGGGAAGAGGAAGGAGGAUGUGCGUGGACCUUUCUCUUCCUAUUGGUGCUAUGAGAUUUGUGAUAGAUGCCUGGAUGGCGGGUGGAUUCAGGGUUGGAUUUUCACUUUACGGGAAUACAGAAAUUCUUAGAUGUGGAUGCGUAUGCCACAAGCUGUGCCAACUUCAAAGGUCAAAACCCCCUGUCUGGGGCGAUUCAGGAGAGGCAUUGCUGAUUGAGAGGGGAAAGGGGGAGGAGAUGAUGACCAAAUGGCAUGGAACAACAAUGCUUAAAGCGUACUGGAGGUAUUUUUGAUUUUGUCAAGUUGUUCUUGCAAAAAUCAAAGAUUAUUUUUAAUAUGAAUCAAGUGAGUUACGAUGAUUAUCAAGUUGUUGUUCAGUUUUUUAUGUUGUUCAUGCUAGCAACCUUGCUAUUGUACUUGCAGGCUGAGUAUGUUGUCUGUGCAAUGGUAUGAGCUUGGUAAAGGAAGCUCAUAGCAGCUACUUCAUUAUUGGGAGGCCUUUACUUUCUCCUUUUUCACGUCUAUACAUGGACAUACAUUCCGUUAUGACAGAAAAAUGGUGUCUGCAUUUACCCAAACAAAUUGUGACUGCAUUAGCUUCAGUCAUCACUGAAUUACUAGAGAAAAAUGGUGUCUGCAAUUACCCAAGAAACUCGGACGUACAUUAUAUUUCUUAGUUUGUGAAAAUAAACUAUUGCUGCACUUAUCACCAUCGUCGUUUCAUAUAUGUGUGGAUAACUAGAUUUGGCAACUUCUCCAAUUAUAUGUGAUGAAAUUUUUUACCUUCGUCAAUGUGCUCCGGCUCCUUCUUAAUUAGCUCCUAUGUUUCUUGUCUUUUAUCUGUACAACUUUUGGCUACACCUUCAGCAUUUUUAUGUAUAUAAUCCCCGAACAUCUUUCCAAAAAAUUUCAUUUCCCUUGCAUGUGCAAUUUACUUCGGCAAGGCCAAAGUCAAACACGAUAGUGGUAGCCCAUUGCUAAAUGGGAGAAAUUUAUCUCUAAGUAUGACAUCCUUGCAAAUUAGAUACUCUAAUAUGCAUUUGCGUGGUUGUAUUUUGCUGACAUAUCAUGUAAUUUCUUGCCAAACGCCCAAACGUAAUACCAGGUAAUUUGAAAUAACUGUGAGGUUGCAUGGUUUCAUAAUAUAUAAAAAGUAAAUUCAAGUUACAGUAGGUGUCUAAUUCUGGACUCUGAUCACAACUACUCAAUAUAAACACUUUUACCUAUAUGCUGCAGAAAGAGGCCAACAAGUUAUCUGAGUGCACUGAUGAUAGUUUUUUCUUUCCAGAAUACAUUGAAUUGUUGUGAUAGAAGUGUGGCAUCUCAUAACCUUCUCCCAGUUAGAGCUUUAUAUCGUAUUCUGUAUAGUAUAAUGUUGGUUUCAGAAUCAUCUUCCCAUCCCUCCACGAGUGAUUUGGAUGGUCAGGAAGUCAUCGGUUGCUCUAAUGCGGGAGGAAGCAGUUCCAGAACUGGAUAGAGAAUGUACCUUUCAUUCUCUUAUAGUCUAUUGCUUGGUGUUGGCGCUGCAAGUUUGGUUUUCCUUUAGAAUGAUAGACAAGGCAGAAGACACAUGUGGCUUCUUUAGCAGUACAUGUUGUAUUUGCAUCUUUAACACCAUCUCUUUCCACAAAUAUUGAGAUGCUUCAGGGUAAAAAGCACUAAAAGAUUAUUUUGAUUAUGAUUUCCAUCUUUA